AAGUUUGGUAGAACUAAAGAGGACUGCUAAUUACUCUGAUCGUGGCUUGAUUCCACGACAAACUUG
rnacentral:tRNA from 1 species